CGAGGAUUCCUCCAGUAACGGCGAGUGAACGGGGAAAAGCCCAGCGCUGAAUCCAUUGGCCACUGGUCGCUUGGAAUUGUAGCGUAUAGGUGCGGUUGUCCGUUCGUUUCGCGCACCCAAAGUCCCCUUGAGUGGGGCUAUAGUCCGAAGAAGGUGCUAGACCUGUACGGGUGGCGAGACGAUCGGUUGAUUGCUCCUUGGAGUCGGGUUGCCUGGGAUCGCAGCCCAAAGUUGGUGGUAGACUUCAUCUAAGGCUAAAUAUGGCCACGAAACCGAUAGCAAACAAGUACCGUGAGGGAAAGUUGCAAAGAACUUUGAAGAGAGAGUUCAAGAGGGCGUGAAACCGCUGAGAUUGAAACGGAUAGAGUUGACUGAACUCGGCUGCAUUCAUCCGGUCGGUCUAGCGGUCCGAUCGUUUUGACUUCCUCGAAGAGGGCGAAGCCGUCGGUAACUGUUGGGCAUUUGAUCGGUGUAUUUGCGGCUGGUAUGCGCUGAGAGCUUUGCGAUCGCGUGUUGACAAACGCGCAGUGGACCAUUCCUUACGGGCGUGGAACCCUUCGCGCUUUGAGACAUGUCGGUUGUAGGGUUUCGAACGUGGCGUCUCCGCUAUGGUGCGUCAGCUUUUUCGAGCUGUUGUGGCUGCCGGGUGGUCGCGUGCGACUGUCUGCAGUCAUCGAUGGUUCGACAGGAGUGUGGACGCGGCGAGGCGUUGAUCUCGGUGUGAACGUCGACCACCUAUCCGA
rnacentral:rRNA from 1 species